rnacentral:rRNA from 1 species
AACGAACGCUGGCGGCACGUUUUAAGCAUGCAAGUCGAACGGCAGUGGGGGCAACCCCAUGAGAGUGGCGAACGGGUGAGUAACACGUAGGUGAUCUGCCUUUGGGUUGGGGAUAGCUUGUGGAAACACAGGGUAAUACCGAAUGAGCUGACGAGGCUUUGGCCAUGUUAGUAAAGGUGCUACGGCACCGCCUAGAGAGGAGCCUGCGGCUGAUUAGCUAGUUGGGGGGGUAAAGGCCUACCAAGGCGACGAUCAGUAGCCGGCCUGAGAGGGUGUACGGCCACACUGGAACUGAGACACGGUCCAGACUCCUACGGGAGGCAGCAGCUAAGAAUCUUCCGCAAUGGGCGAAAGCCUGACGGAGCGAUGCCGCGUGAUCGAUGAAGGUCGAGAGAUUGUAAAGAUCUUUUCCAACUGAGGAAUAAGUGGACCAGGGAAUGGGCUCAUGAUGACGUUAAGUUGGGAAUAAGCCCCGGCUAAUUACGUGCCAGCAGCCGCCGUAA